rnacentral:rRNA from 1 species
GAAAUGGAUGGCGCUUAAACGUAUUACUUAUACUUUACAUUAAAAUAAAUGCUAAAUUUUAAUGAGUAGGAGGGCGUAUGGAUAAUAUCGAAGAUUAACAGUGAUGUUGGUUGGAAUUAUCUUUAGUGCAGAUCUUGGUGGUAGUAGCAAAUAUUCAAUAGAGAACAUUGAAGACUGAAGUGGAGAAAGGUUUCACAUGAACAACACUUGGAUGUGAGUUAGUCGAUCCUAAACGGUGGGUUAACUCCAAAUACAUGGAUACUUGUAUCCUGUACCGUGAAAGGGAAACAGGUUAAUAUUCCUGUACUAUAUCAAGGAGGUAAAGUGGUAACACAACUGAACUCAAAUACAUCAGUAGAAUAACCAGGAAGAGUUCUCUUUUCUUCUUAACAACUUCCCUGCAAAGGGUGUAUAAUGACCAUGGAAUCAAUUUAGUUGGAGAAAUGGUUAAAGAGUUGGCAG